rnacentral:lncRNA from 1 species
AGUCCAGUCUUGUAAACUGUCCGGGGAGCUAUGACACCCUGCAGAGUGCUGGUUCCGGAGGACCUGUGCCAUGGUCUGCUGUGAUGUGGGCCAGGAGCCAAGUGGUCUUAUGUGACCCCUGUGGAAGGGUCAUUCAACACCCAGAGGCUGAGAACAGCUGACGUUCGUGCUGUGGAAUUGACCCUGGGAGACCAGAAACUUGGUAUAAAAGUGAUGGCACCGAGUGUUACAGAAGUGACAUUUCAGAGGCACAAGGCUACAAAGAACAGAGAGAGCUUGUGGUGGUGGCAGAGGAGGCACGUGUCUCCACAGUGCUUCACCCAGUGAUCCUACAACACGGGACUUAGACUCAGGCAUGUCCACAACUUUCCCCAUGUGUAUAGCAGGUAAAGGUGGCACCUAGGCAUGGCCUGCCCACUGAGGGGACACAGAUGAACAUGCCAGAGAACACCCAGCCUGUCUGCCUCUUUAAGGAGAGUCUCCCAGAGAAAAAGAAUCUUGGGCUUAGAGCAGAAGAAAGCCAGGGCUUCACUCAUGUUCAGACUCCCAGAGUGUCUUCAUGGUGGCAGUGAACAGCUCUCCUCAGACCAUGUACCCCCAAAGCUACUGGGUGUCCUGAGGAAACAAAGCUUCAGCCGAAGAUGUCCCAGCUCCUCCCGGGAGCACCUCCUUGUCCCACUCGGUCCCCUCCUCACAGGAAGUCAGCACAGGGCAGAGAAAAUAGCCAGAACUUUGGAGGAGGCUACAAGACAAACCCACCAUUGUCCAUGCAAGCUUGCAAGGGAAAAACAACAACAGGCUUUUCCACUUUGGAGUCUCCAGACUGGGAUAUUCUGCAUACUUUCUUCACUCCAGAGCGCUCAGUGUGAAGAAAUAUCACAAACCUCUAAGACCAAGGCAGCCGGACCCCACCCCCAAAAAGGCCAACUGCCCUGGCCCUCAGAAUCUGCUUCACUGCCAAAGUCCCUCAGUGUCUAAGGCACUCCUAAUAGCUCUCAGGGUUCCCUGCCCCCAGGGACCUCCUCAUCUCUAACUGAUCCUGAUUAUCCUGUGUGAAGGAGAAGCACCUAGGUUAGCCAAGACACGAGGGUGUGUCUGAGGGAGCCACCCACAGUCAGCUGAUGGGCAAAGGGAGAAUGGAGAACACUUGUGCGUUAGAGCAGGCCCACUCCCCCCCCCCCCCCCCCCCGCAGCAGUGAGGCCAAGCAUGCGAACCGGAACCUCUGACAUCAUGCUUCAGACAACC